CAGCAGCCGCGGUAAAACAGAGGGUGCGAGCGUUAAUCGGAUUUACUGGGCGUAAAGCGUGCGUAGGCGGCUUUUUAAGUCGGAUGUGAAAUCCCUGAGCUUAACUUAGGAAUUGCAUUCGAUACUGGGAAGCUAGAGUAUGGGAGAGGAUGGUAGAAUUCCAGGUGUAGCGGUGAAAUGCGUAGAGAUCUGGAGGAAUACCGAUGGCGAAGGCAGCCAUCUGGCCUAAUACUGACGCUGAGGUACGAAAGCAUGGGGAGCAAACAGGAUUAGAUACCCCCGUAGUCCCUGUCUCUUAUAC
rnacentral:rRNA from 1 species